UGGCCUUGACAUGGGAGUGAAAGCCACCAGAGAUGGAGGCCUUUCCUUCGGGAACACUCCACACAGGUGCUGCAUGGUUGUCGUCAGCUCGUGUCGUGAGAUGUUGGGUUAAGUCCCGCAACGAGCGCAACCCCUGUCCUUAGUUGCCAUCAGGUAAUGCUGGGAACUCUAGGGAGACUGCCUGGAUUAACCAGGAGGAAGGUGGGGAUGACGUCAAAUCCUCAUGGCCCUUACGGCCAGGGCUAGACACGUGCUACAAUGGAUGCUACAACGGGAUGCGAGACCGUGAGGUUUAGCUAAUCCCAAAAAAGCAUUCUCAGUUCGGAUUGGAGUCUACAAUUCGACUCCAUGAAGU
rnacentral:rRNA from 1 species